rnacentral:rRNA from 1 species
GACGAACGCUGGCGGCGUGCUUAACACAUGCAAGUCGAACGGAAAGGCCCUGCUUUUGUGGGGUGCUCGAGUGGCGAACGGGUGAGUAACACGUGAGUAACCUGCCCUUGACUUUGGGAUAACUUCAGGAAACUGGGGCUAAUACCGGAUAGGAGCUCCUGCUGCAUGGUGGGGGUUGAAAAGUUUCGGCGGUUGGGGAUGGACUCGCGGCUUAUCAGCUUGUUGGUGGGGUAGUGGCUUACCAAGGCUUUGACGGGUAGCCGGCCUGAGAGGGUGACCGGCCACAUUGGGACUGAGAUACGGCCCAGACUCCUACGGGAGGCAGCAGUGGGGAAUAUUGCACAAUGGGCGGAAGCCUGAUGCAGCAACGCCGCGUGCGGGAUGACGGCCUUCGGGUUGUAAACCGCUUUCGCCUGUGACGAAGCGUGAGUGACGGCAAUGGGUAAAGAAGCACCGGCUAACUACGUG